rnacentral:rRNA from 1 species
UGACGUAGGGUGCAAGCGUUUGUCCGGAAUUAUUGGGCGUAAAGAGCUCGUAGGCGGUCUGUUACGUCGGCUGGUGAAAAACCCUGGGGCUCAACCCCGGGCCUGCAACCGAUACGGGCAGACUAGAGUUCGGCAGGGGGAGACUGGAAAUUCCUGGUGUAGCGGUGGAAUGCGCAGAUAUCAGGAGGAACACCGGUGGCGAAGGCGGGUCUCUGGGGCAGUAACUGACGCUGAGGCACG